CCCAAGCAACUAAAGUGAUUGAAAAAAAGAAGGGAAAAACUGUUGACAAAGGAAAAUGUUUCCAUUGUGGCAAAGAGGGACAUUGGAAAAGGAACUGUAAAGAUUACCUUAGUUCCUUGAAGAAGGAAGCGACAGGAUCUGGAACAAAGUAGAAGGCUUGCAGAUAAUGAGAUUGUGCUAAAGGUAGCAAAUGGGGCAAGAGUUGCAGCCACAGCUAUCGGCACUGUAUCUUUAAUUUUAUCACAUGAACAUAGUUUAAUUUUAAACAAUUGUUUAUGUGUACCUGGAGCUUUUAAGAACAUUAUUUCUAUUCCUGUAUUGGUGAAAGAAAAUUAUGAAUUUUCUUUUAAGAAUAAUGUUUGUGAAAUUUAUUUUAGAAAUAAAUUGAUUGCUACUGGUAAUUUUGUCAA